CACGUAGGGCGCGAGCGUUGUCCGGAAUUAUUGGGCGUAAAGAGCUCGUAGGCGGCCUGUUGCGUCCGCUGUGAAAGCCCGGGGCUUAACCCCGGGUCGGCAGUGGAUACGGGCAGGCUAGAGGUAGGUAGGGGAGAAUGGAAUUCCCGGUGUAGCGGUGAAAUGCGCAGAUAUCAGGAGGAACACCGGUGGCGAAGGCGGGUCUCUGGGCCGAAACUGACGCUGAGGAGCGAAAGCGUGGGGAGCAAACAGG
rnacentral:rRNA from 1 species